CCUACGGGUGGCAGCAGUGGGGGAUAUUGCACAAUGGGGGAAACCCUGAUGCAGCGACGCCGCGUGGGUGAAGAAGUAUUUCGGUAUGUAAAGCCCUAUCAGCAGGGAAGAAAGAAGACGGUACCUGACUAGGAAGCCCCGGCUAACUACGUGCCAGCAGCCGCGGUAAUACGUAGGGGGCGAGCGUUAUCCGGAUUCACUGGGUGUAAAGGGAGCGUAGACGGCCGUGCAAGCCAGGAGUGAAAGCCCGGGGCCCAACCCCGGGACUGCUCUUGGAACUGUGCGGCUGGAGUGCGGGAGGGGCAGGCGGAAUUCCUGGUGUAGCGGUGAAAUGCGUAGAUAUCAGGAGGAACACCGGCGGCGAAGGCGGCCUGCUGGACCGCGACUGACGUUGAGGCUCGAAAGCGUGGGGAGCGAACAGGAUUAGAUACCCGGGUAGUC
rnacentral:rRNA from 1 species